rnacentral:rRNA from 1 species
GACGAACGCUGGCGGCGUGCCUAAUACAUGCAAGUAGAACGCUGAAGGAGGAGCUUGCUUCUCUGGAUGAAUUGCGAACGGGUGAGUAACGCGUAGGUAACCUGCCUGGUAGCGGGGGAUAACUAUUGGAAACGAUAGCUAAUACCGCAUAAGAGUAGAUGUUGCAUGACAUUUGCUUAAAAGGUGCAAUUGCAUCACUACCAGAUGGACCUGCGUUGUAUUAGCUAGUUGGUGGGGUAACGGCUCACCAAGGCGACGAUACAUAGCCGACCUGAGAGGGUGAUCGGCCACACUGGGACUGAGACACGGCCCAGACUCCUACGGGAGGCAGCAGUAGGGAAUCUUCGGCAAUGGACGGAAGUCUGACCGAGCAACGCCGCGUGAGUGAAGAAGGUUUUCGGAUCGUAAAGCUCUGUUGUAAGAGAAGAACGAGUGUGAGAGUGGAAAGUUCACACUGUGACGGUAUCUUACCAGAAAGGGACGGCUAACUACGUG